rnacentral:tRNA from 1 species
AAAGGGAGACCUAAUUCAGGUAAAAGACGAAAAAAAAGUAGUCGCUACCAAGAAUCAAUCCCAAAAGGUCGGAGCGAGGCGAAAUUGGCUUUCAAACUAGGUUCUGGGUUCAAACAAGACCUGAAUCAGGAACAAGGGCUAUUAGCUCAGGUGGUUAGAGCGCACCCCUGAUAAGGGUGAGGUCCCUGGUUCGAGUCCAGGAUGGCCCACCUGCACAGGUGGCAAAAACAAGAGAAGCGAGGAAUCAGCACCUUAUCUUACUGACAUAGUAAGAGAGAAUGCUGGCUCUGAGUAAAGAGUCCAGAGGAACCCUGAAAACUGCAUAGAGCUAGGUGAAAAAGCCAAAAAAGAAGACCGCAAG